UGUUGUCUUUUUGCCUUCAGAAACGUGAUCCGUGCAACCGUUUCACUGUUGUCAUUCGUAUGCGAUUCUCUUGAACUCACCCCGACCUCAAGGCUGCCUCCACCACCAUGGAAGAGAUUCAACUUCCAGCUUGAAGGUGUUCUUCCCUCGACUUGCAAGGGAUAGGAAAAUCAUGGCGACUGCAACCAUGGCCACUGCAGCCGGUACAACUGCUCUUUUGUACUACACAUUGAAUAGGAAAUUUGGCUGAUUUCAGAGGUGAGAUAUUCCUCUUCGUGUACUACUUCUUUUUGUCCAGUCUGAGAGAGUUUGUAGCUUUUCUUCUGCUUUGAGUGAUGCAGGCUUCCCAUUUGAAACAUAAAUGAAAUAUUUGAUUUUGUUGGCAUUAGCCUAACAUUUGAUCUAUUGUUGUUGUUUUAGAGAUCCAAUCUUAUUGAAUGUUUUAGGGAUCCAAUCUUUCUCGGUUAAGGUAUUCCAUACUUUUAGUUUUUCAUUUAAUUUAUUUACUCUUUUGAUUUGCCUUUCAUGUGUUAUUCGUAAUUGGUACUGCAUUCUGACUUAGGCUCCCAUCUGCUCUCCUCCAAGGCCAAUGUAACAUCUUUUAUUGUUUAUCCAUUUGGUUAGUGUCAAUUCUAUCCAACAUUAUCUUAUAUGUGUUCUUCCUCACCAAUCUUAUUGACCAUUUGAGUGACUUAACUCCUUCUCUGCGACCUUGCUCUGCCAACACAAUUAAACCAAAUAGGGCUUCUCUUUCAUUGCAAUGAACUGCGGUUGAGAGAGAGAGAGAGAGAGAGAGAGAGAGAGUCAGUCAGUGAUGGUAUGAGCCUACAGCAGAGGGUGCGAUUUCUAAUGGGGUUUCUACUCAUGGAUUUUCCUGUGGACAGAGAGAAAGGACUUGAAGAAUUGCUUAUGGUUUCACGAUUUGGUCAACUGAUGUGUGUUUAGGCAGUGCAUGAUGUAAACUGGACCAUUUUCCUUUUGUAAACACGAUGUUGAUUGUUUUUGUGGACUAUUGGAUUGGUAUGGCUCAAGGAAUUGUUCAAAAAUAUGGAAGUUCUAAACAUAAGGAACCCAUUUCCCACCAAGAAAGUCCUAUGUAGAACUGAGAUACCUUAAGAUGUAGAAAACCAAUGCUUUCAAGAGUGCACCUUUUUUCUUGGUGAGUUUGUUGCUCAGUCCCUCGCAUGUUGUGGCUGCUUUGAGCUGUGAAGAUUGCAUAUUAGAAAGAGUGUGGCUUCUUAGCUUGCUCAUCAAAAAGUGGUUGUGGUUGGGUAGCUUUACUUCUCUAGCUUAAAGUGGACUUCCUUUCCCUUUUGUCUUUGAUGUAGAACCACUUAGAAUUAGAACUUGAUGUAGAACCACUUUGACAAGUAUUUGAAUGGUUUGAGAUAUGUUUUUCUUCUUUACAA